rnacentral:tRNA from 1 species
GUUUUAGUAAUUUAAAAAAAAUAUUGACCUUGUAAGUCAAAAUUAAGUACUCCUUCUAAAGCU